rnacentral:rRNA from 1 species
GAUGAACGCUGGCGGCGUGCCUAAUACAUGCAAGUCGAGCGAACAGACGAGGAGCUUGCUCCUCUGACGUUAGCGGCGGACGGGUGAGUAACACGUGGAUAACCUACCUAUAAGACUGGGAUAACUUCGGGAAACCGGAGCUACUACCGGAUAAUAUAUUGAACCGCAUGGUUCAAUAGUGAAGGACGGUUUUGCUGUCACUUAUAGAUGGAUCCGCGCCGCAUUAGCUAGUUGGUAAGGUAACGGCUUACCAAGGCAACGAUGCGUAGCCGACCUGAGAGGGUGAUCAGCCACACUGGAACUGAGACACGGUCCAGACUCCUACGGGAGGCAGCAGUAGGGAAUCUUCCGCAAUGGGCGAAAGCCUGACGGAGCAACGCCGCGUGAGUGAUGAAGGUCUUCGGAUCGUAAAACUCUGUUAUUAGGGAAGAACAAAUGUGUAAGUAACUAUGCACGUCUUGACGGUACCUAAUCAGAAAGCCACGGCUAACUACGUG